AUGGUCGCCGCCGGAGCUCUCCACGCUGGCAGCCGUGUCCUCCUACCGAUCCGCCGAAGCUUCAGCACACCCUGGUCCCACGUCCGCUCCCACCUCCACUCCACCAAGCCCCCUUCUGCUCCACUCCCGCCCCCACCUCCGCCGCCGCCUUCUUCCCACGCGGCGUCCACGCGCUUCACCCCUACCACUAGGAGAAGCGGAUCAAUCGGGUCCGGGGUAGUCACGUGGUACCUCGGCUCGAUCGAGGCGCGGCCGCUGCUGACCAAGAGCAUCACGGCUGCCACAAUUUACACCGUUGCCGACCUCACCUCCCAGAUGAUCACACUUCCUGCUGAGGAGUCACUCGAUCUAGUUAGGACUCUGCGCAUGGCUAGUUAUGGGAUGCUGUUCUCAGGACCUUCACUGCACUAUUGGUUCAACUUUAUCUCAAAAGUAGUCCCCAAAAAGGAUGUAGUGAGCACCUUCAAGAAGAUGUUUCUAGGACAAGCAGUUUAUGGCCCAAUUAUUAAUUGUAUUUUCUUCUCAUAUAAUGCAGGAUUACAAGGUGAGACAAUCCCAGAGAUCAUUGCAAGAUUAAAGCGGGAUAUAAUUCCGACCAUCAAAAGUGGCCUCAUUUAUUGGCCUCUUUGUGACUUCAUCACUUUCAAGUUUAUCCCUGUUCAUUUGCAGCCGCUAGUAAGCAAUUCCUUUGCGUUUCUUUGGACCAUCUACCUAACAUACAUGGCCGGCUUAAAGAAACCAGGCGUGGAGGUGAUCACGAGCUCUUAG
rnacentral:rRNA from 1 species